rnacentral:rRNA from 1 species
ACGCUGGCGGCAGGCCUAACACAUGCAAGUCGAGCGGUAGCACAGGAGAGCUUGCUCUCUGGGUGACGAGCGGCGGACGGGUGAGUAAUGUCUGGGAAACUGCCUGAUGGAGGGGGAUAACUACUGGAAACGGUAGCUAAUACCGCAUGACCUCGCAAGAGCAAAGUGGGGGACCUUCGGGCCUCACGCCAUCGGAUGUGCCCAGAUGGGAUUAGCUAGUAGGUGAGGUAAUGGCUCACCAAGGCGACGAUCCCUAGCUGGUCUGAGAGGAUGACCAGCCACACUGGAACUGAGACACGGUCCAGACUCCUACGGGAGGCAGCAGUGGGGAAUAUUGCACAAUGGGCGCAAGCCUGAUGCAGCCAUGCCGCGUGUGUGAAGAAGGCCUUAGGGUUGUAAAGCACUUUCAGCGAGGAGGAAGGGUUCAGUGUUAAUAGCACUGAGCAUUGACGUUACUCGCAGAAGAAGCACCGGCUAACUCCGUGCCAGCAGCCGCGGUAAUACGGAGGGUGCAAGCGUUAAUCGGAAUUACUGGGCGUAAAGCGCACGCAGGCGGUUUGUUAAGUCAGAUGUGAAAUCCCCGAGCUUAACUUGGGAACUGCAUUUGAAACUGGCAAGCUAGAGUCUUGUAGAGGGGGGUAGAAUUCCAGGUGUAGCGGUGAAAUGCGUAGAGAUCUGGAGGAAUACCGGUGGCGAAGGCGGCCCCCUGGACAAAGACUGACGCUCAGGUGCGAAAGCGUGGGGAGCAAAC